AACCGGAUUAGAUACCCUGGUAGUCCACGCCCUAAACGAUGCAUAUUUGGUGUGGGCCAUUCAUUUGGUCUGUGCCGGAGCUAACGCGUUAAAUAUGCCGCCUGGGGAGUACAGUCGCAAGGCUGAAACUCAAAGGAAUUGACGGGGGCCCGCACAAGCGGUGGAGCAUGUGGUUCAAUUCGACGCAACGCGAAGAACCUUACCUAGGCUCGAAAUGCUUUGGACCAUCCCUGGAAACAGGGACUUUUCGCAAGAAACUGAAGUAUAGGUGCUGCAUGGCUGUCGUCAGCUCGUGUCGUGAGAUGUUGGGUUAAGUCCCGCAACGAGCGCAACCCUUGUCCUGUGUUGCCAUUCCGCAAGGAGGAACUCGCAGGAGACCGCCAGGGAUAACCUGGAGGAAGGUGGGGAUGACGUCAAGUCCUCAUGGCCUUUAUGUCUAGGGCUACACACGUGCUACAAUGGACGGUACAGAGGGUCGCCAACCCGUGAGGGGGAGCCAAUCCCAAAAAACCGAUCUCAGUUCGGAUUGCAGGCUGCAACUCGCCUGCAUGAAGCCGGAAUCGCUAGUAAUGCCGGAUCAGAACGCUGGCGUGAAUACGUUCCCGGGCCUUGUACACACCGCCCGUCACAUCACGAAAGUGGAUUGUACUAGAAGUCUGCAGGCUAACCCGCAAGGGAGGCAGCGGCCCAAGGUGUGAUUCAUGAUUGGGGUGAAGUCGUAACAAGGUAACCGUA
rnacentral:rRNA from 1 species